GAAGAGAGAGAGAACAUCAACAUUCAAGGGAAGACCGUGAUUGGCAAACGCCUCUAUGACAGUGUGCCGAUUGAUUUUGACCUUCAGCGAAUGGUUAUUUACUGCGAUUCACGACAUGCUGAGCUGGAAACUUGCUGUGACAUUCCUUCUGGACCGUGUCAAGUGACUGUCGUUACGGAUGCUCCUCCCCCUCAGCUAAUACCCACCG